GAUGAACGCUGGCGGCGUGCCUAAUACAUGCAAGUCGAGCGAACAGACGAGGAGCUUGCUCCUCUGACGUUAGCGGCGGACGGGUGAGUAACACGUGGAUAACCUACCUAUAAGACUGGGAUAACUUCGGGAAACCGGAGCUAAUACCGGAUAAUAUAUUGAACCGCAUGGUUCAAUAGUGAAAGACGGUUUUGCUGUCAUUUAUAGAUGGAUCCGCGCCGCAUUAGCUAGUUGGUAAGGUAACGGCUUACCAAGGCAACGAUGCGUAGCCGACCUGAGAGGGUGAUCGGCCACACUGGAACUGAGACACGGUCCAGACUCCUACGGGAGGCAGCAGUAGGGAACCUUCCGCAAUGGGCGAAAGCCUGACGGAGCAACGCCGCGUGAGUGAUGAAGGUCUUCGGAUCGUAAAACUCUGUUAUUAGGGAAGAACAAAUGUGUAAGUAACUAUGCACGUCUUGACGGUACCUAAUCAGAAAGCCACGGCUAACUACGUG
rnacentral:rRNA from 1 species